GGCCAGACUCCUACGGGAGGCAGCAGUGAGGAAUAUUGGUCAAUGGGAGAGAUCCUGAACCAGCCAAGCCGCGUGAGGGAAGACGGCCCUAUGGGUUGUAAACCUCUUUUGUCGGAGAACAAAACCCGGGACGUGUCCCGGACUGCGUGUAUCCGAAGAAAAAGCAUCGGCUAACUCCGUGCCAGCAGCCGCGGUAAUACGGAGGGUGCGAGCGUUAAUCGGAAUUACUGGGCGUAAAGCGCUCGUAGGCGGUAUGUCAAGUCAAGGGUGAAAUCCCCGCGCUCAACGUGGGAACUGCCUUUGAAACUGGCAAACUGGAGUGUGUGAGAGGAUAGUGGAAUUCCAGGUGUAGGAGUGAAAUCCGUAGAUAUCUGGAGGAACAUCAGUGGCGAAGGCGACUAUCUGGCACAUAACUGACGCUGAGGAGCGAAAGCGUGGGUAGCAAACAGGAUUAGAUACCCCAGUA
rnacentral:rRNA from 1 species